AUGGUGAUCUCACUGCUCCACACGCAGUGGCACAUGCUCGCCCAGCUGCCCCUGCAAUGGCAGCUCCUCCUCCUUCUCGCCGGCCUCCUCCUCCCCGUGGUCUCCUACCUGCUGCUCAUAACGAGGGGCGACGUUGAGGGAGGACGGCUGAGGCUGCCGCCCGGCCCUGCGCGGGUGCCGGUGCUCGGCAACCUGCACCAGCUGGGCCCGCUGCCGCACCGCAGCCUGCGCGACCUAGCCCGGCGGCACGGCCCCGUCAUGCUGCUCCGCCUCGGCACGGUGCCGACGCUGGUGGUCUCGUCUGCCGCUGCGGCGCGAGACGUGAUGAAGGCCCACGACGCCGACUGCUGCAGCCGGUUCGCGUCCCCGGGCCCCGCGCGGCUCUCCUACGGCGGCAAGAGCAUCGCCUCCUCGCCCUACGGCCCCUACUGGCAGGACAUGCGCAGGCUCUUCGUCGCCGAGCUCUUCGGCCCGCGGGGCGUCCGCGCCGUAUGGGACGCGCGUCGGCAGCAGGUUGACAGGCUCAUGGCCACCCUCGGCGCGGCCGUGGCGGCAGCGACGGCGGCUCCGGUGGCGAUGGACCAGCACGUCUUCCGCGUCGCCGACGGCAUCAUCGGCACCGUGGCGUACGGGCGCAUCUACGCCGCGGAGGCGUUCGCGCGCAAGUACGAGCAGUUCCAGCACGUGCUCGAGGAGGCCAUGGCCAUGUCGGCCAGCUUCUCGGCCGAAGACUUCUUUCCCAACGCCGCCGGCCGCCUCGUCGACCGGCUCUCCGGCAUUAUCGCGCGGCGAGAGAGAAUCUUUAGGGACCUCGACGCCUUCUUCGAGGCGGUGCUGGAGCAGCACCUGGACCCCGCGCACCCCAAGCCAGAGAGCGGCGACGGCGACCUGGUAGACGCCUUCAUCAGCGCCUGUGAGGAGCACGGCUUCACGAGGGACCACGUGAAGGCCAUGCUCCUGGACGCGUUCCUCGGCGGCGUCGACGGCAGCUCUAUCACCAUCGUGUGGGCGAUGUCGGAGCUGAUCCAUAACCCGACGGCGCUGAAGAAGGCACAAGAUGAGAUCAGGGCCGCGGUGGCCGCCAGCGAUGUCUCGCCGCCGGGGUUGCCAGUCCAGCCAGACGACCUGCCCAAGCUAACCUACCUGAAGAUGGUCCUCAAAGAGACCAUGCGGCUGCACCCGCCGGCGACUCUGCUGCUGCCACGGGAGACGCUGCGGCAGGUGGAGAUCGGCGGCUACGACGUGCCGGCGAGGACGCGCGUGCUGGUGAACGUGUGGGCCAUCGGAAGGGACCCGGCAAGCUGGGGGCAAGACGCGGACGAGUUCAAGCCGGAGAGGUUCGAGACGGACGGGAGGCACGGCAAGGUGGACUUGCGCGGCGCGCACUUCGAACUGGUGCCGUUCGGCUCGGGCCGGCGGGUCUGCCCCGGGCUGGCCAUGGGGGUGACGACCGUGGAGUUCACGCUGGCCAACAUGCUGUGCGGCUUCGACUGGACGCUGCCGGAGGGGACGGCGGCGGAGGAAAUGAGCAUGGAGGAGGCCGGCAAGCUAACCUUCCACCGCAAGACGCCGCUGGUGCUCCUGCCCACGCCGUACCACUGUAAUUAG
rnacentral:rRNA from 1 species